rnacentral:piRNA from 1 species
AGCACUUGCCUUCUGUAUGAUGAU